rnacentral:lncRNA from 1 species
UUUUGAAUUGCCUAUCUCAUUUCUUGAGACUAUGAAGGACAAACAAAGGUGUAUUAUCUUCUUUAUGAAUAUUAUAUUUAGAAUUUUUCUAAAAAAAGUUGCUAGCAAAAGUGACUUUGUGUCUACUAAAAAAUUUACUUUGAGCGCAGGUGCAUUCAAGGGAGUCGGCAUAGUAAAUACGGCAAUCAAAAGGAUCACUCAAUAGGAGGAAGAGAGGAAAGUCAUCAUCAAAAUUUUC